GCCCGGCUAGCUCAGUUGGUAGAGCAUUCGACUCUUACAUAAUAAUGGGUUGCGCGCGGUUUUUCACGCUAUCGAAUUGUCGUGGGUUCGAGCCCCACGUUGGGCG
rnacentral:tRNA from 1 species